rnacentral:rRNA from 1 species
CUACGGGACGCAGCAGUGAGGAAUAUUGCACAAUGGGGGAAACCCUGAUGCAGCAACGCCGCGUGGAGGAUGACGCAUUUCGGUGUGUAAACUCCUUUUAUCAGAGAAGAAAAUGACGGUAUCUGAUGAAUAAGCUCCGGCUAACUCCGUGCCAGCAGCCGCGGUAAUACGGAGGGAGCAAGCGUUAUUCGGAAUCACUGGGCGUAAAGGACGCGUAGGCGGGUUUUUAAGUCAGGUGUGAAAUCCUAUGGCUCAACCAUAGAACUGCACUUGAAACUGGGGACCUAGAGUAUGGAGGGGCAGGUGGAAUUAGUGGUGUAGGGGUAAAAUCCGUAGAUAUCACUAGGAAUACCGAAAGCGAAGGCGGCCUGCUGGGACAUUACUGACGCUGAGGCGUGAAAGCGUGGGGAGCAAACAGGAUUAGAUACCCGGGUAGUC